rnacentral:rRNA from 1 species
GUCCUGGCUCAGGAUGAACGCUGGCGGCGUGCUUAACACAUGCAAGUCGAGCGAAGCACUUUGCUUUGAUUUCUUCGGGAUGAAGAGCUUGGUGACUGAGCGGCGGACGGGUGAAGGUAACGCGUGGGUAACCUGCCUCAUACAGGGGGAUAACAGUUAGAAAUGACUGCUAAUACCGCAUAAGACCACAGCACCGCAUGGUGCAGGGGUAAAAACUCCGGUGGUAUGAGAUGGACCCGCG